GACGAACGCUUUCUUCUUUCUUAACACAUGCAAGUCGAACGGAAAGGCCUGCUUUCCCUUGUGGAUUGCGGGUACUCGAGUGGCGAACGGGUGAGUAACACGUGAGUGAUCUGCCCCCAACUUGGGUAUAAGCCUGGGAAACUGGGUCUAAUUCCCGAUAGGACUGCAGGGUGGUGCCUGUGGUGGAAAACGAUUUUCUAGUGGUUGGGGAUGAGCUCGCGGCCUAUCAGCUUGUUGGUGGGGUAAUGGCCUCCCAAGGCGGCGACGGGUAGCCGGCCUGAGAGGGUGGACGGCCACAUUGGGACUGAGAUACGGCCCAGACUCCUACGGGAGGCAGCAGUGGGGAAUAUUGCACAAUGGGCGGAAGCCUGAUGCAGCGACGCCGAGUGGGGGAUGACGGCCUUCGGGUUGUAAACUCCUUUCGACCGCGAGGAAGCCACCUGGUUGGAAGGGUGGUGACGGUAGUGGUAGAAGAAGCACCGGCUAACUACGGG
rnacentral:rRNA from 1 species